GCACUGAUUUCCAAAGAGAUCUUUCCAAAGACACAUUGUGAUUAAAGCUUUGGCUGAAUGCUUGUUCUACUAAACAACUCACAAUUUUAGAAGCUCACCACCAAUUUGGUAACAGCAAAUUUUUUUAGUAUAAUGUUAUCUUCCCAACUCUGCUAAAUUUUACAGUAUCCAUGUCUCUGCAGAGUGCAAAUGACUUAUGUGAAGCGGAGCGACAGGAGUAAAAGCUAGCUAAAUGUUAGCAUGACAUGACGUUAGCAAGACAAGAUGCAAUGACAGCUGUUCGAAAUCAAUCCCUAUUUACUACUACCAGAUGUUAGGAGUGAUAGGAGGGGUUAUAGUUCCUCUUUUUCCUUUUUCCUUUUCCUAAACACUUUGGACUGGUUUUCAUUGAGAGAUAAUGAGGUGUGGUUAAGCUGGGUGUCGGUGAAAAGGACGUCACUGUGAGGUGCACGCACAUCCACUAGAGUUAUCUAAUGAUGUGAUGAGGCUCAGCUGUGGGAGCGCGGCAGUUGAAUGACUGGUGCGUGUUAAGCUAACACAAGAGACGCCAGUUUUGGAAGUACUACUCAGGACACUACAGCUUCACACCUUUCUUGCUCAAGGACUGUUGUGGAAAACCAGCUCUGUUUUAUUUCGGAGAUCCAUCCAACGACACCCUAAACUGAACUGAAAGGCCCAGCCGGAGCUCACUGCAUACGUAAGCAAAGACCAGAUGAUUCACUGAUUGGAGGAAUGAGCGUCCAUCGGACUUGAGCAGGAUGUUUGGGAAUGCUGGAAGGCCUUGUUUUCAUCCCAAUUCCACUGAGGCAUCUAAGACUAGCGUGCAUUUUGGUGAUAGAUAUGCCUACAAUGGAUGCCAACAGCAACUGAAGCGGCAAGACUGAGAAUAAGUGAGAAUGAUGGGAAGGGGCGGAGACAGCGACUGGAAAAACACCACUCAAGUCAGUCUUGUUAUGAAUCCAUGGGGAGUAGAUAUCAGAUAUUUGGAGAUAGGAGUUGGAAAGGCGUGGAUGAUGGCUCAUUUGAGGACCUCAAACACCUGCUUGCUCCAGUGCUCAUCCCAUGUGAGCAUAAGGCUGAAAAACAUAACGGUUAACUCACACUCGUGAUUCACAGCUCGGUUGCUUCAACAAGUGUUCAUGGGAUGUGAUUUCGAGCUGUUCAUUCGGUCACUUCCCAUCACAUCAUACACACUAUUGG